rnacentral:rRNA from 1 species
GGGGGCUUCGAUGGGAGUCACUCCAUCGGGAUAGACACCCUUGCCUUUGAGUACCUUUUCGUUUCCUCGGCGGGCUCGAUGAGGGGGACAUCCAAAAAAACCCCUUGUAAUAGCAGUAUCUUCUGAAUAAAAAGCAAAUAGUCAAAACUUUCAACAACGGAUCUCUUGGUUCUGGCAUCGAUGAAGAACGCAGCGAAAUGCGAUAAGUAGUGUGAAUUGCAGAAUUCAGUGAAUCAUCGAAUCUUUGAACGCACAUUGCGCCCUUCGGUAUUCCGUUGGGCAUGCCUGUUCGAGCGUCAUUUGAAAAUUCAAGCUCAGCUUGGUGUUGGGUGCUUGUCCCCCCCCUUCCGCGGCGGGACUCACCUCAAAUGCAUUGGCGGCCGGCAUGUUGGCUUCGAGCGCAGUAGAAACGCGCCCGGCGUCUGGACGUGCCCGGUCUUCCACGAAGCCCACUUCUAACGCUUGACCUCGGAUCAGGUAGGGAUACCCGCUGAACUUAAGCAUAUCAAUAAGCGGAGGAA